rnacentral:lncRNA from 1 species
GGGACAGGGGUCCAUGAGGGAAAGGGGUCCAUGAGGGAGGGGGGGGGUCUGAGAUGGGGGUCCAUGAAGGACAGGGGUCCAUGAGGGAAGAAGUCCAUGGGGAAGGGGCUCUGAGGCGGCUCCAAGCGCUCGCUGGACAUACGCUAAUUAAGCGGUGCCGCUCCUCUGUGAGGCAGCUAAAGGACACAGGAGACCCUUCAGCCCGCAUCGGGGGGACAACACCCGUUUCGGCAGCACAGAAAAAUGCUGCAAAGGACAGAAACCGAGUCCUGGCAGCUGAAAUCAAGCAAAUCAGGGAGGCUCUUCGUGCCGCGCUGGGGCACCGAGCGGGAGCGAACGCUGCAUGGGGUUUCGAGCCGAGCGCCGCGCGGCCUUGCUUCGGGGUGGACGUCCUCCAAAUCCCAGCUCCAAGUGAUCGCAAUGAGGACGACCGACGGGAGCGGAGCGAGAGGAUGAGCACAGGAGCACCAGGAACAGGCGGAGAGAGAAAGCACARAGAGCUGGAAGGAAACUCACUUUUCAGGAGAAAACAGCUGAAAGGCGUACGCGUGACUCACUCGAGGAGGGCUGUUUGUUUUGGGACACGUCCCUCCAGCUGCUUCUCUUUCUCGGGCGUUUCUGUAYGCGCUGAUGUUUCUGUGUACUACAAAAUAAAGCGUCUGCAAAUACGAGGCGAUGCUAGUUGCUUUUUUGGUGCCAGCUAGUUUAAAAGUCUGUUUUACAGCCCAGUCUGACAGAAGCGCAUAAUCCCAGUCAGCCCGGCCAGCACAAACGUGAGAGGUCGCGUUUUGCAGCUAUUUGGGUAGUUGAGUUACUCGGGUCGUUCCUCCCCCCGGGUCAUUCCCCGAAAAGCCCCGACACUAGACUCCAGCUCAGCGCCCGUGUCGUUAAUUGAACGUUGCCGAGACCCGUGCUCAGAACGCCUUACGAGCCUCCCUCGGCGCCCCAAAAAUUAAUUCUCACUGCAGUGAGGGAGACUAUCGAUUUCUGCUGUCUCACAACAAAAACCGC